UCCUACGGGAGGCAGCAGUGGGGAAUCUUGCACAAUGGGGGAAACCCUGAUGCAGCGACGCCGCGUGAGCGAUGAAGCCCUUCGGGGUGUAAAGCUCUUUCGUCAGGGAAGAUAGUGACGGUACCUGGAGAAGCAGCUGCGGCUAACUACGUGCCAGCAGCCGCGGUAAUACGUAGGCAGCAAGCGUUGUUCGGAGUUACUGGGCGUAAAGGGUGUGUAGGCGGUUCUUUAAGUUUGGUGUGAAAUCUCCCGGCUCAACCGGGAGGGUGCGCCGAAUACUGAGGGACUAGAGUGCGGGAGAGGAAAGUGGAAUUCCUGGUGUAGCGGUGAAAUGCGUAGAUAUCAGGAGGAACACCGGUGGUGUAGACGGCUUUCUGGACCGUAACUGACGCUGAAACACGAAAGCGUGGGUAGCAAACAGGAUUAGAUACCCUGGUAGUCCACGCCCUAAACGAUGCAUAUUUGGUGUGGGUCAUUCAGUUGAUCCGUGCCGGAGCUAACGCGUUAAAUAUGCCGCCUGGGGAGUACAGUCGCAAGGCUGAAACUCAAAGGAAUUGACGGGGGCCCGCACAAGCGGUGGAGCAUGUGGUUCAAUUCGACGCAACGCGAAGAACCUUACCUGGCUCGAACGGCUUCUCAACGCCGGUAGAAAUACUGGUACCCCGCAAGGGGUGGAGUCGAGGUGCUGCAUGGCUGUCGUCAGCUUCGUGUCGUGAGAUGUUGGGUUUAAGUCCCCGCAACGAGCGCAACCCUUGUCCUGUGUUGCCCAUCAUUCAGUUGGGGAACUCCCCAGGGAGACCGCCAGCCGAUAAGCUGGAGGAAGGGUGGGGAUGACGUCAAGUCCCUCAUGGGCCUUUUAUGUCCAGGGCUACACACGUGCUACAAUGGACGGUACAAACCCGCACCAAACCCGGCGAGGGGGAGCCAAUCGGAAAAAACCGUUCUCAGUUCGGAUUGCAGGGCUGCAACUCCCCUGCAUGAAGCUGGGAAUCCGUUAGUAUUGCAGAUCAUUCCGCUGCCUGAACACUUUCCCGGGCCUGGUACACACCGC
rnacentral:rRNA from 1 species